CUUUUCAGCUAGAGUUGAUAGAGGAAAGCAGAAUUCUAGUGUAGAGGUGAAAUUCGUAGAUAUUAGAAAGAAUACCAAUUGCGAAGGCAGCUUUCUGGAUCAUUACUGACACUGAGGAAACGAAAAGCAUGGGUAGCGAAGAGGAUUAGAUACCCUCGUAGUCCAUGCCGUAAACGAUGUGUGUUAGACGUUGGAAAUUUAUUUUCAGUGUCGCAGCGAAAGCGAUAAACACACCGCCUGGGGAGUACGACCGCAAGGUUAAAACUCAAAUGAAUUGACGGGGACCCGCACAAGUAGUGGAGCAUGUGGUUUAAUUCGAAGAUACGCGCAGAACCUUACCAACACUUGACAUGUUCGUCGCGACUUUAAGAGAUUAAAGUUUUCGGUUCGGCCGGACGAAACACAGGUGCUGCAUGGCUGUCGUCAGCUCGUGUCGUGAGAUGUUGGGUUAAGUCCCGCAACGAGCGCAACCCUCACUUUUAGUUGCCAUCAUUAAGUUGGGCACUCUGAAAGAACUGCCAGUGAUAAGCUGGAGGAAGGUGGGGAUGACGUCAAGUCCUCAUGGCCCUUACGUGUUGGGCUACACACGUGCUACAAUGGUAUCUACAACAGGAAGCAAGACGGCGACGUUAAGCAAAUCCUUAAAAGAUACCUCAGUUCGGAUUGCACUCUGCAACUCGAGUGCAUGAAGCUGGAAUUACUAGUAAUCGUGGAUCAGCGUGCCACGGUGAAUGCGUUCCCGGGCCUUGCACACACCGCCCG
rnacentral:rRNA from 1 species